rnacentral:rRNA from 1 species
AUUGAACGCUGGCGGCAGGCCUAACACAUGCAAGUCGAACGAGUGGCGGACGGGUGAGUAAUGUCUGGGAAACUGGCUGAUGGAGGGGGAUAACUACUGGAAACUGUAGCUAAUACCGCGUACCAUAAGAUGUGCCCAGGUGGGAUUAGGUUGUUGGUGGGGUAACGGCUCACCAAGGCGACGAUCCCUAGCUGGUCUGAGAGGAUGACCAGCCACACUGGCACUGAGACACGGUCCAGACUCCUACGGGAGGCAGCAGUGGGGAAUAUUGCACAAUGGGCGCAAGCCUGACGCAGCCAUGCCGCGUGAAUGAAGAAGGCCUUCGGGUUGUAAAGUACUUUCGGCGGGGAGGCGUUACCCGCAGAAGAAGCACCGGCUAACUCCGUGCCAGCAGCCGCGGUAAUUC